rnacentral:rRNA from 1 species
UUUAAAUGGCCCCAGUAUACUAACUGUGCAAAGGUAGCAUAAUCAUUAGUCUUUUAAUUGAAGGCUGGUAUGAAUGGUUGGACGAGAUAUUAACUGUUUCAUAAAAAUUUAUAAUAGAAUUUUAUUUUUUAGUCAAAAAGCUAAAAUAUAUUUAAAAGACGAGAAGACCCUAUAAAUCUUUAUAUUUAAAUUAUUAUAAUUUUAUAGAUUUAUUUUGUUAUAAUAGUUGAUAAUAUUUUAUUGGGGUGAUAUUAAAAUUUAAUAAACUUUUAAUUGUUUAAAUCAUUAAUUUAUGAAUAAUUGAUCCGUUAUUAGCGAUUAAAAAAAUAAGUUACUUUAGGGAUAACAG